GUUGCGCAUCCGAUGCGUGAACAUAUCGUAAUGUUCUUGCGAGUAAUCUGCAUAAUUAUUCCCGGGUAACGUUCAAUCUUGUUUUUGUUUUCCGGGCGCGACGUCCACUUGACGUCUUUUGUGGAGCGGCUCAGUCGCUUUUUUUGCUGCACACGUGAAGUGAUCCCUUAGUAUUUCUUGUGAAUGUAGGUAAGUAUCUAUUUCAUUUAUUUUACCUUUGAUGUACGAAGGAUCUUAACUCUUCGUGUUGGUUGUAUGAGAAUCUGGGUGAUAAUCUGAGUUCAGGAAAACGAUCGAGUUUUGUGAAAGGAGGUUCGGAUGCGGACCGCUGCAUGGAAUACGAAGAUGCGAAAGUUUAUUGAUCUCAUAGCACUGGGUGAGGGAGAACGGCAACAAUGAGGAGCUCAUACAUCCUUUGCUCGACGGUGAUUCUCUUGCUGCUUUGGAUGAAAACAGAAAUAGCAUUGGAGGCGAGCAAAAUCAAAACUGGUGUCGAGAUUUUGAUGAAGUUCUACAAACCAUGCGUGACUGGAUGGAAUAGCACCAAUUGUUUUCGGGAAAAAACUGUGCAUCAACCAGACCCCACACACACGACCAACCGUACUUUACCACAAACAGAUAACAGGAUGCCAUCCGAGGAUCCACCCCAACAAGACAACGUAACUUCUACCAAAAGGAGCCAGACUAAUUUUGCCGUGGGCGCAAAUUUAAACUUCACGCUCAUUGGUUUGGUUCGCAAGAUUGUACGAUUAUUCUCAACGGUUGCGACCUCCGGCAAAACUACGAAUCUAUCCAUGGCAAGAUCAAGCGAACCUGCCGAUGAUCAACGGAGAGACGACACAAAUUCUGCUAUCAAGGGCAAAAAAGUUCAGAAAGAUGCUUCAGAAUACUCAGAGGACAAUAAUUACACAGAGGAAGAUAUGCAAUUCGAGCCAGAUCAGGGUCACGAAGGUAGUGAUAUGGGUUACGCGGGAGAGGAGGAGGAACUUGAACUGGAGGAACCGGAAGAGGAAACAGAGGAAGAAGACGAUGAUGACGAUCUUGGCGGUGGCGGUGGUGGAUAUAUGCGCCCUAUCGCAAUGAGCAUGGGUGCCAUAAUGACGAAACCCAGCAUGGAGCCGCAGAAAAUGCCCAACACAGGGUCAGUGAGCCUCAAGAAAGAACCAUCCUCAAUGAUGUCUGGCAUGAGUUGGCCCAUGAGACCCAUGCAGAUGAUGCCUCUUAUGGGAGCGCCCAAUGGAGGUGAAAUGAUGAUGCCCCUAAAAAGUGGUGACGAAGACGACGGUGGCCAAAAUAUGGUGCCCAUGAUGAUGAUGAUGAUGCCAUCCUCUGAUUCAUCGCACCACGACAAGCAUAAACACAAGGACAAGCAUAAGCACAAAAAGAAGAAGAAGAAAAAGAAGCAUAAGAAGAAAAAAGAGAGUGCUGCCGCCGCUAUGAUGGCCGAUAAAAUGGACGGUGGUGGAGAUGGGGCCGGCAUGAUGCCCGACCCUUCCACCAUGAUGAAAAUGGGGAUGAUUGGGGUUGGGGGUAUGGUUUUGCUCAUCCUCAAAGCCAUCACGCUGAUUUCGGGUAAAGCUGUUCUUGCCAGCACCAUAGCGCUCACCUUAUCCAUCAUCAUGGCCUUAAAAGCGCUCUUCAACUCAGUCCAUGCGCAUCCACCAGAGGGCGCUGAUAAGGUCAUGACCUACAUGAAGAAGCCGAUUCACAUCAACGCUGACGCUGGUUACCCGGACUAUAGGAACUACCAUGGGAGUGACUGGGGCUACCAUGAUUCUAGUUACUUCCCAACGAAGAAGUCCGGGAAGCUGCCAGAGUAUAAGAUAGACAAGCUCAAGCGAAAAGAUAAGACUCCUACAACCCUAGCUCAGACUGAACUCACAACGGGCAGUCCCGUCAACCCUUUCGACUUCAACCCGGAGACGUAUAGCUCGGCAAAUAUUAUAAACUAUAAAAGUGGUCUAAAUAACAGUGGUAUCAGCCAAUUCUAUUCACAUUCCGUCCCACUUUACACAGGAUAUGCUCCGAUCAAUUCUUGAGAAUUCUUCUAUUCUUGAAAAAUAAAGAAUUAAAAAAAUUUACAAUAUUUUUCCUUACCUUUUUGUAAUGCUAAAAUAGUUUAAAUCUACUUUGCUAAUACUACAAGUUCUCUUUCUUUGAUAUUCCUACUUUGCAGUUUUCUACUUAAAAGAAAAGAAAAAGAAAAAAAAAUCAUAGUCACACGGUUAUUUCUUUACCUGAAAAGUUCAUUAUGGUCCAACAGUUCUCUGUGCUUUUUGCAAACCUAACCGAUGAAUCAUAGAACUAGUUUAGUAUUGCUCAAGUUCACAAAAAUAUUCUUAAUUGUAAAAUUUUUGUUUUCAUUAUGCACAUAAUGAUGAAAUGUUUACAAAUUUUUUCUACCGACGAAUGAUGUGUUUUUCACUAAUCAUAAAACGAUCGUUACAGGUUUCACCAAUUAUAGUUACGAGCUAAACAAUCAGUAAAUGUAUACAAUUUUGUGUUUCCAUUAUGAUUCGAUUACUCACAAUUGAAUUUUCAAUUUGAAUUCAAAUUAUUGAAGUAAGUUUUUUAUUGCCAACAGUGGGCUGUAAAGUCUAUUUUUAAGAAAUUUUCUAGGGAAAAGAUGUUGCAUAGUGCUUCCAUUCAUAUUUCGUCUGGAGGCCCAUUGUGCGGUUUAUAAUUUAGACAGUUGCGUAAUUUGAGCUUUUUUAGAUUCCAAACUAAUGAACUAAGCCGUAUUCUCUGAAUGAGCUCAUUUCAAUGAAAAUGUAUCAUAGUCGCUCAACAAACGCACACUUGAGAAACAUUACUUUCAACCAAUAAUGCCAGACAAAAAUACUUUAUAAACUGUAGAAAUUGGGAAAUGAUUCGUACGAGGAUAAACUAUUUUUAAAUAUCGAUGCACAUGAAACAAGCCUCCAAUGUUAGCUACUGUAUACGGCAUGACUAUUCAUUACAUUUUCACUGCCAAUACGAACAAUAAACAACUAACAAUAAAGUUGUUAUUCCCGGUUAUAUGAAUUUAAGGAAAUGCAAAACAGCAAGUGAGUGUAACUCAAACUCAUUGAUGCUAAAAGAUUCCCCAGUAGAAGCACUACGUAUAAUAGGGACACUAUUAUCUUCUAUUUAAAAAAAAUAGAAAUGUACCUCAGCACAAAUCACACAGGUCUACUGACUGCUGCCAUAUGUUGAGCAUUUUAUCAAUUUGGAAAACUAUUGUCGCAAACUUUCACAUGUAGAAAAAUUCUAUUAGACACGUCGUGCAUGGGUUUGUGAUAGAGGAUUUCAUGCAGAUGACACGUAAAUUCCUCGAAUAUAAGUGAGGAGCGCACACUUUGAUAUUUACAUUAUUAUUAGAGGACAUUCCAUGCCGAGGUACUGUUACGCUACUUGAAAUAUUUUUUAUUAACAAGCCUUAUUUGAGAUGGCUGCCGAGGAAGCGAUCGACAAAACAGCAGGUAAGCACUCCCUGAAACCUGAAAUCCUUCACCAUUUCACCUUUAGAAUCCUCUUUGAGGUAUCAACAUGGGUUGACAAAAGGAGAUACCAGCAGGUAUAACAAAUGGGUAUUCAAACGAUUUCACAUAAUAAUUUGAAAGUCAAAGUUCAGAAAAAAUGCAUUUUUAUUGCAAAUUGAAAAUCGAUGUAUCUAAAUAUAUAGAUGGCGAAAGUGAAAAUCACGCACCUCCGUUUGUGACGUUGCGAGCUUCCUCUUGUAUUUGAUUUUUCUUUGGAAAACUAGUUAAAACAAUUUGUCUUUUGUGUUCAAAGAAUAUUUUGUAUGAAUUUCAAGCGAUAAACUUGGCUUUUUUCUCAUAAAAAAUUAAAUAGAAGCGGGACUUUAAAAUAUAACGAAUGAGAUAUUGACGGCGAAAGUACCAGGUCACGUAUCUCGGUUUGCGAUGUUGCAGACUCUCUGUCAUUUUUUAUAUUUUAAAAGAAUACUACUCAAAGUCAAUCCUUGAAAACUGCUGUGUUUUUCCUUCUCUGUGUGAAGAAAACUCUGAAGAUCGAAAGAAAUUAUGUUGGUUUGUUCUCAUUGAAAAAUUAAAAUGAGAGCGGAGAUUUUUAAACAUCGCAACCGAGGUACAAGGUCUGGUAGUUUCACCGUCGAUAUGUGGUUUUGAUACUUAAAUGAUGACAAAAGGGUGCCAAGAGUCGUCAGUGAAGUCAUAAAUACACUUUAAGAGGUAUUAUUUUACUUCCUGUAACUUCAUGUUAUCAACAGAGAGCAUGACAUUUUUUAUGGUGCAAAUUUUAAAUAAACAAACAAUAAAGAGGAUUCGCUCGCCUUAAUUCAAUUAUUGUCCGGGCCUAGCGUGCACGCAAACGAUGGACUAUGUGGUUAAGGAGAGGAUAACAAAGCGUGCUAUGAGCGUUAUCAAAGCGACGAGCAAGAGGAUGCAUCUCAAACGCUUUUCAAGUCUAUUUAUUGUGUUAAUAAGGAGGAGUAAUUGCCGAGCAAGCCGCAGUAACCCAUAUAACCAAGACACCAUCAUUGGGUCUGCAUACACCCUUGUGCAGUGUGCAUGUGCAUGGAAGUUCGCAUACUGAUGAGUCUCGCGCUCCUGAGAUCACGGAAUGUAGAUAAGAUGUUGGCUCCCUAUGCUGCAGCCUCCGCGAAAACCAGAGUAUGAAAUUUCCUCGUAUAUGCACUCUCUUCUUGUGCCUGAGUUUCACUCUAACUUAGUGGAACUUCACCUAGAAAAGGGUAAUUCAUAUAUUUUGAUGCAAAGAGAAGAUGACAAAUGGGGCUUGGAGGACAUAAGUGCAGUUUUUGCUAUUUUGAGAAAUACAUAUUUGAAGUUUCGAAAAUGACAUGGAUCCUUAUGACGGGAAAAAGGUUCUUACCAACUCAUUGAUGCUUAAAGAUUGGAAUUUGGGAGUGAAUUUUUCACAGAAUAUGCAUUAAGACUAGUUUAACUUGAAAUCAUUCAUAUCUCAACUUUUACAAGAACUGCACUUAUGCAUCUUGUCCUCCAAGCCCCUAAAAUGAGUCAGUUGCACACAAGAGAAACAGCCAACUGAGUUAUAAACAUUUUCAUAAAAAAACGUACCAGCAUUAUGUUUAUCAAAAAUUUCUAAAAUACACAUCCUCAAACACAGUUUGCGUAUCAGUGAACGCUAUAAACAGGAUCAGUAUAUAAUCAUAUAUG
rnacentral:lncRNA from 1 species